UUCCGGCGGGCGGCGCUGGGGCCGUGCGGAGUCCCGCCCCGCCGCCCCUCGAGCGCCCCCACUUCGCGUCGGGCCGGAACCUGCGCCCCGAACCAGGAAGCACCUGGCGGCGGGCGCGGGAUGGCUGGGCCCGGCUGGGGUCUUCCUCGGCUGGACGGUUUCAUCCUUACCGAGCGCCUGGGCAGUGGCACGUACGCCACGGUGUACAAGGCCUACGCCAAGAAGGAUACUCGGGAGGUGGUAGCCAUAAAAUGCGUGGCCAAGAAAAGUCUCAACAAGGCGUCUGUGGAAAACCUCCUGACUGAGAUUGAGAUCCUCAAGGGCAUUCGGCAUCCUCACAUUGUACACCUGAAAGACUUCCAGUGGGACAAUGACAAUAUCUACCUCAUCAUGGAGUUCUGCGCAGGGGGUGACCUGUCUCGCUUCAUCCAUACCCGCAGGAUCCUGCCUGAGAAGGUGGCUCGAGUUUUCAUGCAGCAGCUGGCUAGUGCCCUGAAGUUCCUGCAUGAACGAAACAUCUCUCACCUGGAUCUGAAGCCACAGAACAUUCUGCUGAGCUCUUUGGAGAAGCCCCAUCUGAAACUGGCAGACUUUGGCUUUGCACAGCACAUGUCCCCAAGGGAUGAGAAACAUGUGCUACGUGGCUCCCCACUCUACAUGGCUCCUGAGAUGGUGUGCCAGCGGCAGUAUGAUGCUCGUGUGGACCUCUGGUCUACGGGGGUCAUCCUGUAUGCCUCCCCUCUGCCUUCUUCCACAGAAGCCCUCUUUGGGAAGCCCCCUUUUGCCUCCAGAUCAUUCUCAGAGCUAGAAGAAAAGAUUCGCAGCAAUCGGGUUAUUGAGCUCCCCCUUCGGCCCCAACUCUCCCUAGACUGCCGUGACCUGCUGCAGCGACUUCUAGAGCGGGACCCCAGCCGUCGAAUCUCCUUCCAGGACUUCUUUGCCCACCCCUGGGUGGACCUGGAGCACAUGCCCAGUGGGGAGAGCCUGGCACGAGCAACAGCCCUUGUGGUGGAGGCUGUGAAGAAGGACCAGGAGGGGGACGCUGCUGCCGCCCUGUCACUCUACUGCAAGGCUCUGGACUUCUUUGUGCCCGCCCUGCACUACGAAGUGGAUACCCAGCGGAAAGAAGCAAUUAAGGCCAAGGUGGCGCAAUAUGUGUCCCGGGCGGAGGAGCUCAAAGCCAUUGUCUCCUCCUCCAAUCAGGCCCUGCUAAGGCAGGGCACAUCUGUCCAAGGCCUGCUUCGAGGCUUCUCCCCUCAUUCUGAGCCUUUACUCUCACAUCAGAGAUGGCCCGUGACAAACCUCGCCUCCUUGCUGCCCUGGAAGUGGCCUCAGCUGCCAUGGCCAAGGAGGAGGAAGCAGGCAAGGAGCAGGAUGCCCUGGACCUGUACCAGCACAGCCUCGGGGAGCUGCUGCUGCUGUUGGCAGCGGAAGCCCCAGGCCGAAGGCGGGAGCUACUUCACACUGAGGUUCAGAACCUCAUGGCUCGAGCUGAAUACCUGAAAGAGCAGAUCAAGAUAAGGGAAUCUCACUGGGAAGCUGAGACACUGGACAAAGAGGGACUGUCCGAGUCAGUUCGUAGCUCUUGCACACUACAGUGACACUGGAAGUACUGGUGGAUGGAACACAAGCCUAGAGAGAAGCUAUGUACCAACCCAGGUUCAUGCCUGGGCACCUGGUACCUCCAAGAUGCCCACAUCCUAGUUCCCAGAGUUCUCUGAAUGUUCUCCACCCCCAGAGGACCUGGUGGCUGAUGGACUGUGCCAGGUGUACUAAACUCUGGGAGAAUUA